CCCGGCCCGGCCCGGCUCGGCGGCGUGUGGGGAGGAAGCAGCGCCGGCUGCGCGGCGGGCGGCUGCUCGGCUCCUCCGCCCCCCGUCUCCUCCCCUCCGCCGCCGAUCCGCCUUCUCCUCCUCCUCCUCCUCCUCCUCUUCGCGGCGGCGGCGGCGGCUGCUUUCUCGGCCCCGGCUCCUUGCUUUUCCCCGCGGCUUCCCCUCGCUCCUCUCCGGGAGGCUCCCGAGCAGCGCUGGAGAGGACGGCACUGCUGCAAGGAGCCUCUGGGACUUCCAGGGUGGAGAGAACCUGCCUCUGCCUGGACACCUCUGCUAAAGGUGAAGACCUCCCAACGCACCAGGCAGCCUUAGCAAGAGCUCAGAAAUCUUACAUCAAGAAUCCCCUGGAGCACUACAUUCCCCCUUUCAGCGUGUGGACAAGAGUUUGGCAUUGUGCUUUUACAGAAUGUAGAAGUCAUCUCAGAAGCCAUUUCUGUCAGCUGAGGAAAUUGGGAGCUUGAAAUUCCAAAUACGUUGCAGUAUGAAAGUAGAGGCAGCAAAACUGUCUUGGCUGUGCCAAGGACUGACACCAGGAACAUUCAAAGCCUUGUAACUGAUCUGUGUUGGUUUUUGUGGUCACAAGUUAACCUACACUAAUUUCACAGUCACGUUACAUAUUUUUACCUUCCUGAUGUCAUGCCG
rnacentral:lncRNA from 1 species